GGGUCUUUAGCUCAGCGGUAGAGCGGCAGACUUCGGCUUUGAACUGAAGUGUUCCUGAUAACCAAUCUGGUCUUCUGCAGGUCGCGGGUUCAAUCCCCGUAGGACUCU
rnacentral:tRNA from 1 species